CUCCCGGGAAGGGGCGAGGAGAGUAGCUGCAGCCUGGCCGCGCCGGCCUCCUGCUUCCUCAUGUCAGGAAUCCUGACACCUGCUAUAACGUGGAGGGACCCCAAGGACACUGUGCGCCACAGGACAGAAGGACAGAAGCCAGACACGGACAAAUCCUGCAUGACCCCACUCACAGGAGGUCCCUAGAGGAGUCCCAUCCACAGAGAGAGAAUUGGGCUGGGAGAGAAUGGACAACGAAAGCUGAGUGCAAAGAGGGAAGAUAGCCGAUUAAGAGAAAUAAGAGAGAACCCAAGAAGGCGAUUGCUGGCUCACGCGGUGACCUUGAGCUAAGAGAAAGCCCUGGACAGGAUGAGGCAUAGUUUAUUAUUUUUUUUUUUUUUGAAAGAAACGUAGGAGGAUAAGUUACCACCUGCGCUUGAGAGAUACAUGAGAACACCCCAGACAAAUCUAAAGAAUGAGUGCAGUUGCAAAAGAAGAGAAAUGAGUAGGCACAGACUUGCUGUCCCCAGUUAUGGGAAUGACCAAUAGAAGCUUCAAGAAGGACUGACACCGGUUCCAAGAUCUGAAGUGUGCACGGAGAUAGAGGGAAGGAAGAGGCAGGGUCUCUAGAACAUAGAGACCCAAAUUGUGAGCUGUGAACACCAGCGUCUCCAAGCUGAGCCUGUGGCUUGCCCAGCAUCCAGCUCAAGUACAUACCCCCUGUCCCGAUGUUCCCGGGCCCAGGCGGGAGGCGAAAUGCCAGCCUCUCAUCCCAACUCAGCAAGGAUGGGGUGACACCGAGGAAGUCACCCCCAUCUGGGGUGACCAAGUGUCUUAGGUCACCUGGAACUGUUCUAGUCAUAACCUGGAGAUCAGGACAUCUGGGCACCUGCCCCCCCCCCCUCUGUCUUCAUCUACCAGGAAGGGUCUGGAACAAUUCAGGGGUUCCCAAGGGGGUGCUGAGCAUGACGCCAGGGCGGGAACAACUUGUUUCCAGCCCCCCGACGAUGCCGGGGACAGCUUCAGCUUGGAGUCAACAUGUUCCUAAUGCCACUCUUAACUCUUGUCAGUGACUGUUUUCAAAAAGGGCGUGAACUGUGGGU